GGGGAAUAUUGGACAAUGGGGGAAACCCUGAUCCAGCGAUGCCGCGUGAGUGAAGAAGGCCUUCGGGUUGUAAAACUCUUUCACCUGUGACGAUGAUGACGGUAGCAGGAGAAGAAGCACCGGCUAACUCCGUGCCAGCAGCCGCGGUAAGACGGAGGGUGCUAGCGUUGUUCGGAAUGACUGGGCGUAAAGGGCGCGUAGGCGGCUAUAUAAGUUGGGCGUGAAAGCCCCGGGCUUAACCUGGGAACUGCGUUCGAUACUGUAUGGCUUGAGGACAGAAGAGGAAAGUGGAAUUCCUAGUGUAGAGGUGAAAUUCGUAGAUAUUAGGAGGAACACCAGAGGCGAAGGCGGCUUUCUGGUCUGUCACUGACGCUGAGGCGCGAAAGCGUGGGGAGCAAAC
rnacentral:rRNA from 1 species